ACCAUUAUAGAGUAAGAAAUAAGGUAAGAAAACAUGGGAAAUGAGGCAUGAAGCAAGAUUCAUCAAGUUGUAUGGAAAUUUAGAACUCAAAAUCUGGUAGCAACAUGUUCCUUGACUUUGAGGAAAAAUUUUGAGUACUUUCUAAAGUUCAUUUUAAGCAUACUAUAUAUCAUUUCAAAGCUUGGGAAGUUAGGAGUCUAAUGCUUAAAAUGGUGUGCAAAUCAAAUCUUAAAUGAAGAAAUUAUAUCCAUUUGAAGACAACUGCACAAAGUUGAAUGACCAUUUCGAAAUGAUUUCGAAAAUUCAACUUAUGAAUUCAAAAUCCAAUUCAAAAUGACCCCAAUUUCGAAUUCACCCACUACCACUUUGAUGUUUUGCCUCUUCUACCUUGGGAAUUGGAUCUAAG
rnacentral:lncRNA from 1 species